rnacentral:rRNA from 1 species
GACGAACGCUGGCGGCGUGCCUAAUACAUGCAGGUAGAACGCUGAAGAGAGGAGCUUGCUCUUCUUGGAUGAGUUGCGAACGGGUGAGUAACGCGUAGGUAACCUGCCUUGUAGCGGGGGAUAACUAUUGGAAACGAUAGCUAAUACCGCAUAACAAUGGAUGACCCAUGUCAUUUAUUUGAAAGGGGCAAAUGCUCCACUACAAGAUGGACCUGCGUUGUAUUAGCUAGUAGGUGAGGUAACGGCUCACCUAGGCGACGAUACAUAGCCGACCUGAGAGGGUGAUCGGCCACACUGGGACUGAGACACGGCCCAGACUCCUACGGGAGGCAGCAGUAGGGAAUCUUCGGCAAUGGGGGCAACCCCGACCGAGCAACGCCGCGUGAGUGAAGAAGGUUUUCGGAUCGUAAAGCUCUGUUGUAAGUCAAGAACGAGUGUGAGAGUGGAAAGUUCACACUGUGACGGUAGCUUACCAGAAAGGGACGGCUAACUACGUG